GAUGAACGCUAGCGGGAGGCCUAACACAUGCAAGCCGAGCGGUAUUUCUUCUUCGGGAGAGAGAGAGCGGCGUGAGGGUGCGGAACACGUGUGCAACCUGCCUUUAUCUAGAGGAUAGCCAUUCGAAAGGAAGAUUAAUACUCUAUAAUAUAUUAAUUGGCAUCAAUUGAUAUUGAAAACUCCGGUGGAUAGAGAUGGGCACGCGCAAGAUUAGCUAGUUGGUGAGGUAACGGCUCACCAAGGCAAUGAUCUUUAGGGGGCCUGAGAGGGUGAUCCCCCACACUGGUACUGAGACACGGACCAGACUCCUACGGGAGGCAGCAGUGAGGAAUAUUGGUCAAUGGGUGCAAGCCUGAACCAGCCAUCCCGCGUGAAGGAUUAAGGUCCUAUGGAUUGUAAACUUCUUUUGUAUAGGGAUAAACCUACCCUCGUGAGGGUAGCUGAAGGUACUAUACGAAUAAGCACCGGCUAACUCCGUGCCAGCAGCCGCAGUAACAC
rnacentral:rRNA from 1 species